rnacentral:rRNA from 1 species
AGAAUCAACGCUGGCGGCGUGCCUAACACAUGCAAGUCGAACGAGAAAGCGGGGGCAACUCCGUGAGUAAAGUGGCGUACGGGUGAGUAACACGUAGCUAACCUACCCUCGAGUGAGGAAUAACCUGGGGAAACUCGGGCUAAUACCCCAUAACAUCCGGGCUGCGCAAGCAGUCUGGAGCAAAGGCCCGCAAGGGCCGCUUGAGGAGGGGGCUGCGGCCGAUUAGCUAGUUGGUGAGGUAACGGCCCACCAAGGCGAUGAUCGGUA